rnacentral:lncRNA from 1 species
UUUAUUAAAACAAUUUUGGUCCUAUUACAACUAUUGGUCCAUUUGAUUGUUUUAGUUGUACAUAAUACUCCCACUGUGCUUAUAAAACGUUUUUAAAGCAAGAGUAUAUGAUACUACUAACAUAACCUUUGCAUUCAUUUGAUGGACUAUAUAGUUGCCUUAGGGCCUUAGGAUGACUAUGAACCUUUGUUUAGAUUCAACACGAGCCUUGUGUUGAAUCUCGGUCUAGGGAUGGUGAUUGAUUUUAGUUAUGCGUUUAAUCACAUUAAGGCGUGUUGUCUUAGGGGCGUUGGACCCAACUACUUCAUUUUCAUGCAUAUCAAA